rnacentral:rRNA from 1 species
GCAUAUCAAUAAGCGGAGGAAAAGAAACCAACAGGGAUUGCCCUAGUAACGGCGAAGUGAAGCGGCAACAGCUCAAAUUUGAAAUCUGGCUCUUUCAGGGUCCGAGUUGUAAUUUGCAGAGGGUGCUUUGGCAAAGGUUGUGGUCUAAGUUCCUUGGAACAGGACGUCACAGAGGGUGAGAAUCCCGUACGUGGCCGCCAACCCGCGCUAUGUAAAGCCCCUUCGACGAGUCGAGUUGUUUGGGAAUGCAGCUCUAAAUGGGAGGUAAAUUUCUUCUAAAGCUAAAUAUUGGCCAGAGACCGAUAGCGCACAAGUAGAGUGAUCGAAAGAUGAAAAGCACUUUGGAAAGAGAGUCAAAAAGCACGUGAAAUUGUUGAAAGGGAAGCGCUUGCAGCCAGACUUGCCUGUAGUUGCUCAUCCGGGCUCUUGCCUGGUGCACUCUUCUAUAGGCAGGCCAGCAUCAGUCUUGGCGGUCGGAUAAAUGCGUGCUAAACGUACCUCUCUUCGGGGAGGACUUAUAGGGCACGCGGCAUACGACCAGCCGGGACUGAGGUCCGCGCAUCUGCUAGGAUGCUGGCGUAAUGGCUGUAAGCGGCCCGUCUUGAAACACGGACCAAGGAGUCUAACAUCUAUGCGAGUGUUUGGGUGUCAAGCCCGAGCGCGUAAUGAAAGUGAACGGAGGUGGGAACCCCUCGGGGUGCACCAUCGACCGAUCCUGAUGUCUUCGGAUGGAUUUGAGUAAGAGCAUAGCUGUUGGGACCCGAAAGAUGGUGAACUAUGCCUGAAUAGGGUGAAGCCAGAGGAAACUCUGGUGGAGGCUCGCAGCGGUUUCUGACGUGCAAAUCGAUCGUCAAAUUUGGGCAUAGGGGCGAAAGACUAAUCGAACUAUCUAGUAGCUGGUUCUGCU